GACGAACGCUGGCGGCGUGCUUAACACAUGCAAGUCGAACGGAAAGGCCCUGCUUUUGUGGGGUGCUCGAGUGGCGAACGGGUGAGUAACACGUGAGUAACCUGCCCUUGACUUUGGGAUAACUUCAGGAAACUGGGGCUAAUACCGGAUAGGAGCUCCUGCUGCAUGGUGGGGGUUGGAAAGUUUCGGCGGUUGGGGAUGGACUCGCGGCUUAUCAGCUUGUUGGUGGGGUAGUGGCUUACCAAGGCUUUGACGGGUAGCCGGCCUGAGAGGGUGACCGGCCACAUUGGGACUGAGAUACGGCCCAGACUCCUACGGGAGGCAGCAGGGGGGAAUAUGGCACAAUGGGCGGAAGCCUGAUGCAGCAACGCCGCGUGCGGGAGGACGGCCUUCGGGUGGUAAACCGCUUUCGCCUGUGACGAAGCGUGAGUGACGGUAAUGGGUAAAGAAGCACCGGCGAACUACGU
rnacentral:rRNA from 1 species